UACGUAGGGUGCGAGCGUUGUCCGGAAUUACUGGGCGUAAAGGGCGCGUAGGCGGCCACCGCAAGUCGACUGUGAAAUCUCCGGGCUUAACUCGGAAAGGUCAGCCGAUACUGCGGGGCUAGAGUGCAGAAGGGGCAACUGGAAUUCUCGGUGUAGCGGUGAAAUGCGUAGAUAUCGAGAGGAACACCUGCGGCGAAGGCGGGUUGCUGGGCUGACACUGACGCUGAUUGUGCGAAAGCUAGGGGAGCGAACGGG
rnacentral:rRNA from 1 species